AGUCAAACACAUUUCAUUUAGCAUUCAAGGAUACUAUUUCAGCAGUAUUUUAGCAUUUUAGAAUAAACUAAACACUUACAUCAUAAUAAAAACUUCAAGAGAACUUUAGCAAAGGGACAUCGUUUGGUCUCUACCCUGCCUUAAUAUGUAUAAAUAGUUAUUAAACAUCUGCAGGAAAAUGUUAGUAGCAUAGAAACUUAUAAUAAUUUCUGUUAUAUUAGCAAUACUGCUUGAGAUAUUUCUCCUUGGACAUUCUUAAAUAGAGCUAGAGGGAACUAUAUU